rnacentral:lncRNA from 1 species
ACAGAUUGACGAAUCGAAACGAAGAAGAACAAAACAAAUGUUUGCAGAGGAGAAAAGAAAAUAUUAGAAACGGGAAAAACAGAAGAAAUUAACGUCAGUUUUUUUUAGAGAGAGAAAAACAAAUUUUGAAAAAAUAAAAAUACAAACAAACCCUGAUAACUCCCAAUAUCCUAACUCCCCACUAUCCUCUCAUCCUCAACCACCCCCACUCACACAAACUCUCAAUCCCAUCCAAACUUUCUCACUCAAUCGAGGCAAAAAUUAACCUCCACACUUGUACAAAGAAUCGAACAUAAGACCCCCAACACACUAACUUCUUAC